UACAGAGGUGGCAAGCGUUGUUCGGAAUUACUGGGCGUAAAGGGUGUGUAGGCGGUUGUUUAAGUUUGGUGUGAAAUCUCCCGGCUCAACUGGGAGGGUGCGCCGAAUACUGAAUGACUAGAGUGCGGGAGAGGAAAGUGGAAUUCCUGGUGUAGCGGUGAAAUGCGUAGAUAUCAGGAGGAACACCGGUGGUGUAGACGGCUUUCUGGACCGUAACUGACGCUGAGACACGAAAGCGUGGGUAGCAAACAGG
rnacentral:rRNA from 1 species